AGUGAAGCUGCCAGCAUGAUCUAGCUUUGGUUAUCAUGUAGAUCAAGUUCGAAUCUGCUAAUAACCCUAGCUAGGUCAUGCUCUGACAGCCUCACU
rnacentral:pre_miRNA from 1 species